AAGCCAGCCAAUUAAUCUGCUUAUAUGAAUGUUUUUCUGCAGAAAUUUAGAAAAUGCUGGCAAUAGUGAUACCAUGUUAUGAACUUUAAGGACAACUAAGGUCAUUGAAGGUCCCUGAAAAUGGCUACAUUA